CUCUAGGUUUCAACGCAGGGGAUUACAUUCCAGGACGAAUGGCCCUACUCGAUUCAUCUUCUAGGCCACAUCUACAUCGACGACAUCAGAGAAGUCUACUGGGAUUAACUACGGUUGCAAAUCGAUCCCAAAGAAGAAGCUCAUCUGCAAAUCAAUCCCAAAGAAGAAGUUCAUCAAUCAUACUGGAAUCCAGCUCUUGGGAAAUUUGG